ACUGAAACAGUAGCUCUCGUAUGAUCACUGAAGUUAAGCUAUGUUGUGUCCGGUCAGUAUCUAUAUGGGUGACCACAUGGGAGUACCAGGUAUUGUAA